rnacentral:rRNA from 1 species
GACGAACGCUGGCGGCGUGCUUAACACAUGCAAGUCGAACGGAAAGGCCCUGCUUUUGUGGGGUGCUCGAGUGGCGAACGGGUGAGUAACACGUGAGUAACCUGCCCUUGACUUUGGGAUAACUUCAGGAAACUGGGGCUAAUACCGGAUAGGAGCUCCUGAUGGAUGGUGGGGGUUGGAAAGUUUUGGCGGUUGGGGAUGGACUGGAGGCUUAUCAGCUUGUUGGUGGGGUAGUGGGUUACCAAGGCUUUGACGGGUAGCCGGCCUGAGAGGGUGACCGGCCACAUUGGGACUGAGAUACGGCCCAGACUCCUACCUCACACACCAGUUUCAAAUAUUACACAAUUCUCGCAAGCCUGAUCCAUCAACCCCGCGUGCGGGAUGACGGCCUUCGGGUUGUAAACCUCUUUCUCCUCUAACCAAACUUUAGUAACAUUCAUUUCUAAAUAAUCACCGGCUAACUACCUG